rnacentral:rRNA from 1 species
AUACGGAGGAUGCAAGCGUUAUCCGGAUUUAUUGGGUUUAAAGGGUGCGUAGGCUGUUUGUCAAGUCAGGGGUGAAAUACCUGAGCCUAACUCAGGAACUGCCUUUGAUACUGGCAGGCUGGAAUACGGAUGCCGUGGGAGGAAUGAGUAGUGUAGCGGUGAAAUGCAUAGAUAUUACUCAGAACACCGAUUGCGAAGGCAUCUCACGAAUCCGUCAUUGACGCUGAGGCACGAAAGCGUGGGGAUCAAACAGGAUUAGAUACCCUGGUAGUCCACGCAGUAAACGAUGAUAACUAACCGUCGGCGAUAUAGUGUCGGUGGCCAAGCGAAAGCGAUAAGUUAUCCACCUGGGGAGUACGUUCGCAAGAAUGAAACUCAAAUGAAUUGACGGGG